GACGAACGCUGGCGGCGUGCCUAAUACAUGCAAGUCGAACGCAGUGGGGACGGGUGAGUAACACGUGGGUAACCUCCCAUCAGAGGGGAUAACACUUGGAAACAGGUGCUAAACCGAUACUGAUGGAUGGACCCGCGGUGCAUUAGCUAGUUGGUGAGGUAACGGCGCACCAAGGCCACGAUGCAUAGCCGACCUGAGAGGGGGAUCGGCCACACAGAUAAUGAAAAACGGCCCAAACGCAUACGGGAGGCAGCGGUAGGGAAGCUUCGGAAAUGGACAAAAGUCUGAACGAGCAACGCCACGUGAGUGAAGAAGGUUUUCGGAUCGUAAAACUCUGUUGUUAGAGAAGCGGUAUCUAACCAGAAAGCCACGGCUAACUACGUGCCAGCAGCCGCGGUAAUUC
rnacentral:rRNA from 1 species